rnacentral:rRNA from 1 species
CGUACCUAACCUACCUUUUGGACCGGGAUAACUAUUGGAAACAGCAGCUAAUACCGGAUAAAAUAAAAAAAUGCAUGUUUUUUUAUUAAAAGGAGCCUUUAAAGCUCCACCAAAAAAUGGGGGUGCGCAACAUUAGUUAGUUGGUAGGGUAAAGGCCUACCAAGACGAUGAUGUUUAGCGGGGCCAAGAGGCUGUACCGCCACACUGGGAUUGAGAUACGGCCCAGACUCCUACGGGAGGCAGCAGUAAGGAAUAUUCCACAAUGAGCGAAAGCUUGAUGGAGCGAC